rnacentral:rRNA from 1 species
UUCCAGACUCCUACGGGAGGCAUCAGUGGGGAAUAUUGCGCAAUGGGCGAAAGCCUGACGCAGCGACGCCGCGUGAGGGAUGAAGGUCUUCGGAUCGUAAACCUCUGUCAGCAGGGAAGAACGGUCACUGUGCUAAUCAGCAGUGAAUUGACGGUACCUGCAAAGGAAGCACCGGCUAACUCCGUGCCAGCAGCCGCGGUAAUACGGAGGAUGCGAGCGUUAUCCGGAUUUAUUGGGUUUAAAGGGUGCGUAGGCGGGCAUUUAAGCCGGCGGUCAAAUGUCGGGGCUCAACCCCGGCCUGCCGUCGGAACUGGGUGCCUUGAGUGGGCGAGAAGUAUGCGGAAUGCGUGGUGUAGCGGUGAAAUGCAUAGAUAUCACGCAGAACCCCGAUUGCGAAGGCAGCAUACCGGCGCCCUACUGACGCUGAGGCACGAAAGUGCGGGUAUCGAACAGGAUUAGAUACCCUGGUAUC